CUUCUAUUUCUUUUAGUUACA
rnacentral:siRNA from 1 species